CCCUUAGAUGUUCUGGGCCGCACGCGCGCUACACUGUUCGACGCAGCGAGUCUUAACCUUGACCGAAAGGUUUGGGUAAUCUUCAGCAAAGUCGAACGUGAUGGGGAUCGAUCAUUGCAAUUAUUGAUCGUGAACGAGGAAUUCCUAGUAAGUGCGAGUCAUCAGCUUGCGCUGAUUACGUCCCUGCCCUUUGUACACACCGCCCGUCGCUACUACCGAUUGAAUGGUUUAGUGAGAUCUCUGGAUUGACGCUGGCUAGGGGGCGACCCUUGGCCAGACUGUUGAGAAACUGCUCAAACUUGAUCAUUUAGAGGAAGUAAAAGUCGUAACA
rnacentral:rRNA from 1 species